AAUCUUCCGCAAUGGACGAAAUGCUGACGGAGCAACGCCGUGAGAACGAAGAAGGCCUUCGGUUCGAAAAUCUCUUAUGUUAGGGAAGAACAAGGAACGGAUUAACUGCCGGUACCUUGACGAUACCUAACCUGAAAGACACCGCUAACCACCGGCCAGCAACCGCGGUAAUACGUAGGUGGCAAGCGUUGUCCGGAAUUAUUGGGCGUAAAGCGCGCGCAGGCGGUCUCUUAAGUCUGAUGUGAAAGCCCCCGGCUCAGCCGGGGAGGGUCAUUGGAAACUGGGAGACUUGAGUGCAGAAGAGAAGAGCGGAAUUCCACGUGUAGCGGUGAAAUGCGUAGAGAUGUGGAGGAACACCAGUGGCGAAGGCGACCACCUGGGCUAAUACUGACACUGAGGUGCGAAAGCGUGGGGAGCAAACAGG
rnacentral:rRNA from 1 species